GUUUUUAUAGUUUAAUAAAACAUUGGUCUUGUAAACCAAAAUUAAGAAAAAUCUUUAAAAACU
rnacentral:tRNA from 1 species